rnacentral:rRNA from 1 species
AAUAGAUACCCUGGUAGUCCACGCCGUAAACGAUGAGUGCUAAGUGUUAGGGGGGUUUCCGCCCCCUUAGUGCUGCAGCUAACGCAUUAAGCACUCCGCCUGGGGAGUACGGUCGCAAGACUGAAACUCAAAGGAAUUGACGGGGGCCCGCACAAGCGGUGGAGCAUGUGGUUUAAUUCGAAGCAACGCGAAGAACCUUACCAGGUCUUGACAUCCCGCUGACCGGCCUAGAGAUAGGUCUUUCCCUUCGGGGACAGCGGUGACAGGUGGUGCAUGGUUGUCGUCAGCUCGUGUCGUGAGAUGUUGGGUUAAGUCCCGCAACGAGCGCAACCCUUGAUCUUAGUUGCCAGCAUUCAGUUGGGCACUCUAAGGUGACUGCCGGUGAUAAACCGGAGGAAGGUGGGGAUGACGUCAAAUCAUCAUGCCCCUUAUGACCUGGGCUACACACGUGCUACAAUGGACGGUACAGAGGGUCGCAACCCCGCGAGGGUGAGCUAAUCCCAUAAAACCGGUUCUCAGUUCGGAUUGUAGG